GGAAUUGUUCGCAAUGGGCGCAAGCCUGACGACGCAACGCCGCGUGGAGGAUGAAGAUCUUCGGGUCGUAAACUCCUUUCGAUCGAGACGAAUUCCUCCGGGUCUAAUACAUCCGGAGGUUGACGGUACCGAGAGAAGAAGCCCCGGCUAACUCCGUGCCAGCAGCCGCGGUAAUACGGGGGGGGCAAGCGUUGUUCGGAAUUACUGGGCGUAAAGGGCUCGUAGGUGGCCAACUAAGUCAGACGUGAAAUCCCUCGGCUUAACCGGGGAACUGCGUCUGAUACUGGAUGGCUUGAGUUUGGGAGAGGGAUGCGGAAUUCCAGGUGUAGCGGUGAAAUGCGUAGAUAUCUGGAGGAACACCGGUGGCGAAGGCGGCAUCCUGGACCAAUACUGACGCUGAGGAGCGAAAGCCAGGGGAGCAAA
rnacentral:rRNA from 1 species